rnacentral:rRNA from 1 species
UGGGGAAUAUUGGACAAUGGGCGAAAGCCUGAUCCAGCAAUGCCGCGUGUGUGAAGAAGGUCCUCGGAUUGUAAAGCACUUUCGACGGGGACGAUGAUGACGGUACCCGUAGAAGAAGCCCCGGCUAACUUCGUGCCAG